rnacentral:rRNA from 1 species
GACGAACGCUGGCGGCGUGCUUAACACAUGCAAGUCGAACGGAAAGGCCCUGCUUUUGUGGGGUGCUCGAGUGGCGAACGGGUGAGUAACACGUGAGUAACCUGCCCUUGACUUUGGGAUAACUUCAGGGAACUGGGGCUAAUACCGGAUAGGAGCUCCUGCUGCAUGGUGGGGGUUGGAAAGUUUCGGCGGUUGGGGAUGGACUCGCGGCUUAUCAGCUUGUUGGUGGGGUAGUGGCUUACCAAGGCUUUGACGGGUAGCCGGCCUGAGAGGGUGACCGGCCACAUUGGGACUGAGAUACGGCCCAGACUCCUACGGGAGGCAGCAGUGGGGAAUAUUGCACAAUGGGCGGAAGCCUGAUGCAGCAACGCCGCGUGCGGGAUGACGGCCUUCGGGUUGUAAACCGCUUUCGCCUGUGACGAAGCGUGAGUGACGGUAAUGGGUAAAGAAGCACCGGCUAACCACGUG